rnacentral:rRNA from 1 species
UACGAAGGGAGCUAGCGUUGUUCGGAAUUACUGGGCGUAAAGGGCGCGUAGGCGGUUUGGCAAGUUGGAUGUGAAAGCCCUGGGCUCAACCCGGGAAUUGCAUUCAAGACUGCCUUACUCGAAUUCGGUAGAGGUUGGUAGAAUUCCCAGUGUAGAGGUGAAAUUCGUAGAGAUUGGGAAGAAUACCCGUGGCGAAGGCGGCCAACUGGACCGACAUUGACGCUGAGGCGCGAAAGCGUGGGGAUCGAACCGG